GUAACGCGUGAGCAACCUACCUUUGUGAGGGGGACAACAGCUGGAAACGGCUGCUAAUACCGCAUAAGGCCACGACCUCGAUUGAGGAUGUGGUAAAAGAUUUAUCGCACAAAGAUGGGCUCGCGUCCCAUUAGCUAGUUGGUGAGGUAACGGCUCACCAAGGCGACGAUGGGUAGCCGACCUGAGAGGGUGAUCGGCCACACUGGAACUGAGACACGGUCCAGACUCCUACGGGAGGCAGCAGUGGGGAAUAUUGGGCAAUGGGCGCAAGCCUGACCCAGCAACGCCGCGUGAGGGAAGAAGGUCUUCGGAUUGUAAACCUCUGUCCUUGGGGACGAAAAAAAUGACGGUACCCAAGGAGGAAGCUCCGGCUAACUACGUGCCAGCAGCCGCGGUAAUACGUAGGGAGCGAGCGUUGUCCGGAAUUACUGGGCGUAAAGGGUGCGUAGGCGGCUUGGCAAGUCAGAUGUGAAAUCCCCGGGCUUAACUCGGGAGUUGCAUUUGAAACUGCUAGGCUUGAGUGCAGGAGAGGAAAGCGGAAUUCCUAGUGUAGCGGUGAAAUGCGUAGAUAUUAGGAGGAACACCAGUGGCGAAGGCGGCUUUCUGGACUGUAACUGACGCUGAGGCACGAAAGCGUGGGGAGCAAACAGGAUUAGAUACCCUGGUAGUCCACGCUGUAAACGAUGGAUACUAGGUGUGGGGGAGAUACAACCUCCGUGCCGCAGCAAACGCAAUAA
rnacentral:rRNA from 1 species